rnacentral:tRNA from 1 species
UUUCAGCUUGGCCCGGCCGUUGGCCAGGACGUCGUCGGUCUCGGCGGCGAAGCCGACGACCACCUGUCCGGAGCGGGCCCGGGUCUGGGAG